UACGGAGGGUGCGAGCGUUGUCCGGAAUCACUGGGCGUAAAGGGCGCGUAGGUGGCCCGUGGAAGUCUGCGGUGAAAGCCCGGCGCUCAACGCCGGGUCGGCCGUGGAUACUCUCGGGCUUGAGCUUACUAGAGGCAGAUGGAAUUCCGGGUGUAGCGGUGGAAUGCGUAGAGAUCCGGAAGAACACCGGUGGCGAAGGCGGUUCUCUGGGCAUUACCUGACGCUGAGGAGCGAAAGCCAGGGGAGCAAACGGG
rnacentral:rRNA from 1 species